UACAGAGGGGCAAGCGUUAUUCGGAAUUAUUGGGCGUAAAGGGCGCGUAGGCGGCUUUGCAAGUGACGGGUGAAAUCCCUCGGCUUAACCGAGGAACUGCCUGUCAAACUGCAUGGCUUGAGACCGGGAGAGGUGAGUGGAAUUCCCAGUGUAGCGGUGAAAUGCGUAGAUAUUGGGAGGAACACCGGUGGCGAAGGCGGAUCUCUGGGCCUGUUCUGACGCUGAGGCGCGAAAGCUAGGGAGCGAACGGG
rnacentral:rRNA from 1 species